rnacentral:tRNA from 1 species
GUCCUCGUGGUGCAACGGAUAGCACGUGAGCCUCCGAAGCUCAAAAUAUAGGUUCGAUUCCUAUCGAGGGCACUA